rnacentral:lncRNA from 1 species
UUGAGAGGACAUAACAAAGGCACAGAGGACCCUAGGAAGCUGAUUGCCUAUGCUCAGUUACAUUGGCUCUUGCAGGACUGGACAUUUGGCUGAAGUCACAAAACAGACACAAACAGAAUGAAGCCAGUGGUGACGACUGAGAAGCUGACCCGCCUCUGGCAUUUGUCCGUAUCCACACUAGAGAUGGAACUCCCAGGUGACUUUUGGGCCUGCCAGUUUCCCAUGCACAGGGCCACUGAAUCCGGCUGAGAGAAGAGAGCGCUAUUGUGAGGAUUCGGUCUGCUGCA